AUGACGCAGAAGAGCAAGUUUCCAAUUCCUGUGAUUGACGAGCUUUUGGAUGAACUCGCAGGUGCCAGUUGGUUUACUAAACUUGACUUGCGCUCUGGUUACCAUCAGAUCCGCUUAGCACCUGGGGAGGAAUACAAAACAACGUUUCAGAUGCAUUUGGGUCAUUAUGAGUUCACGGUUCUCUCAUAUGGAUUGAUGGGUGGACCAAACACCUUCCAAUUUGGCAUGAAUCAUACUCUGGAACCUGGCAAUCGCAAGUACGUGAUUGUUUUCUUUGAUGACAUACUUGUUUUCAGCUUCUCCUUCGAGGAUCACCUAAUCCAUCUGCGCCUGGUACUCAAGAUGUUGUCUGAACAUCAGUGGCGUGUUAAGCUGUCAAAAUGUGCAUUUGCACAACGUCAGGUUGGAUACUUGGGACACAUCAUUAGCGAGCAGGGGGUCUCCACCGACCCGGAUAAAAUUUCAGCUAUUCAAACUUGGCCUACUCCAACCAAUGUCAAGGAAGUCCGUGGAUUCCUAGGACUGGCAGGAUAUUACAGAAAAUUCAUCCGUCACUAUGGUAUCACUUGUCGUUCGCUGACAGUUGUGCUUAAAAAAGGGGUAAUCUUCCGCUGGACUGAGGUUGAGGAACAAGCCUUUCAGUAUCUGAAACAAGCCCUGAUGUCUGCCCCGGUCCUCGCACUGCCAAAUUUUAGUAAAACCUUUGUGAUUGCCAUUGACGCCUGUGAUGUGGGGAUAGGUGAUGUCCUCAUGCAGGAUGGUCAUCCAUUGGCCUAUGUUAUCAAGGCUCUGGGACCACGAAACCGAUCCCUCUCUGUGUAUGAAAAGGAAUUCUUGCCGAUAUUGCUAGCCGUGGAGCAUUGGCGUCAGUACUUGCUGCUAAAUGAAUUCAUCAUACAGACUGACCAGCGCAGUUUAACCAGUUUGGCUGAUCAAUGUCUCCAUACUGAAUGGCAGCAAAAGGCUCUCACAAAACUAAUGGGGCUCCGUUAUCAAAUUCAGUAUAAGAAGGGCACUGAAAAUAAUGCAGCCGAUGCUUUGUCCCGUCGCCCCCAUGAUACAGUGGAACUGCAGGUCGUGACUGCAGUGCAACCAGCUUGGUUUUCUGACAUUGCUUCUAGCUAUCAAGUGGAUCAAUUCUCUCAACAACUUCUACAGAAACUAGCUGCCGCCCCUUCAUCCGACAGUAAAUUUUCUCUUAAAAAUGGGCUGAUUUGCACUAAGGGAUGUCUCUGGGUGGGUGCAGAUGCUGGUUUGCACUCUAAAAUCAUCCAAGCUUUUCAUGAUUCUCCAUUGGGUGGGCACUCAGGUUUCCCUGUCACAUAUCGACGUAUUCGUCAGCUCUUUCGUUGGUCUCAUAUGAAAUCCAUCGUCAAGCAGUAUCUGCAGCAUUGCACUGUUUGUCAGCAAGCUAAACCCAAGCGAGUUCCGUAUCCUGGCCUUUUGCAACCCUUACCAAUACCAAGUCUAUCAUGGGAAAUGGUCAUAAUGGAUUUUAUAGAAGGCUUGCCAUCUUCAGGGCGUUUCAAUUGCAUCCUAGUGGUCAUUGAUAAGCUAUCAAAAUAUGGUCACUUCAUACCCUUAGUGCAGUUUGUUUUGGAAAGAGCUGUUCCAACGAACACAAGGGACACAACUGCGAAUGAGCUCAGCCCGCCACCCACAAUCAGAUGGUCAAACCGAACGUGUAAAUCAGCAAGUGGAGUGCUACCUUAG
rnacentral:rRNA from 1 species